CACUCGGGGCCUGAGUCCUGGCUGCCCCAUCGAACCUACUUCCUCCGGAACGCGCACAACAGUGAACUGUACCAAAGCACUAACUAAUCGGCAUAGGAAAAUACUAGGCGACAAAUCUUCAGCUACAAACCGGGCAGCAUCGAUUUCACAAAGCUGACUUGCCCCAAUGUCCGCUUUCAUCGCCCUUGUUCAGUCGCUAUGAGUUAACGGCCACCAUUGCAGGACCACAUUGCACGCUGGGAUUCCGUGAUGCCCGCCCCUCCAGCGGUCACAUGACCUGAACAGUACUCCUUCCCGCCAGUGGGGUGUGUGCAAUCCACUGAAAGGCGCCAUGUGUGGAUGGGUGAGAUUGCUCCAGGGGUCAACAAUUCUCAGUGUCAUCAAACCAAGACAAAGAUUUUUUUGCUGUGGAAUAAAAUGGAAAUUGCUGAAACACACAGCAGAGAGAAAAGGUCUCAAGGAUACUAUGUGCUGACUACUUCCUGAUGAACUUGCAAGUUUCUGCACGAAGGACAGGUCAUAUGGAACAGUCCAAGUACCUGGAGCAUUCAGUGGCAACAAGGCCAGUUCCAUUCUUUAUAACACCAGGGAUAGGUAAACCCUCAGUAUGUAGCGAGACUUGAUGUUUGCAUACCAAGGGUCUACUCGCAGUUUGAUGCAGGUGUACACAAAGGUGGCCAUCAGGAUGAGGGCAGUGUUAGGUACGUUCUUAUCCAGAGUUUUGUAUGUGGCCGUGCAGUUCAUCUUCAACCUCCCAGAUGAAGUGGAAUGUGCCUUGAGUGACUACGACGGCACUGUUUUGGUAAUGAGCAAUACCUGUGCCACAUACAACAACAGAGAGUGCCUCACAAUUGAUGACCAGGUUUUCACCCAUGAUGGAGACCCAGCAGUGUUCCCAAAAGACCAGUUUCUGCUUUACCUUGGCAAUGCGUUCCUCCCAAGAUUUUGUGCACGCCCGAGCCACUCCGAUUCCUAUUCCCAACACCUUCAAGUAAUCUGUCCUGACGGUGAAGAGGAUAAAGGAUCGGUAAGCCCAAUUUCCAAAGCUCACGACCUCACUUUUGUCUUGAUUUACAUUGGCUCCUGUGGCCAGUUCAAACUGGUCGCAGAUCCUUGUGAAUCUGCUCACUGACAGCGGAUCUGAGCAGAAAAUGGCAAUGUUAUCCAUGUUCAGGGAGGCUUUGACUUGCAGGCUUCUGCUGCCUGGAAUAGUCACCACUGUCAGGCUUGCCUUCUUCCCUAGGGAUUCAGCAAAGGACUGUAUACAACACACAAACAAGGCAGGAGAGAAUGGCAGCCGUUCCUGACUCCAGGUCAGAUCAGGAAGCUUUCUGAUUACUACCCAUUGAUUGAGACUGUACUAGGAAUGUUGAUGUAGAGCAAUUGGAUCCAAUUGCAAAUUCCAUCCCUAAAGCAUGUUCAACAUGAAGGUGUGCAAUAUCCUGUCAAAGGCCUUCUCCUGAUUGAGGCUGAUGAGGCAAGUGUCCAUGCCUUUGCCCUGCAUGUAAGCAAUCAUAUCUCUGAUCGCCUACAUGCAGGAUAGGAGCAUGAAGCUCUGA